rnacentral:lncRNA from 13 species
AGUUUAAACAAAGAUGAUCCACAUGAUCAUCAAUGUUUGGAAGGUCAAGUCCAGAAAAUGAAGAAUGAUAUCCUGGGUUUAAACUAUCCAGAAGAUAGUGAAGUGAAGGAUCCCCUGCCUCAGAUCGAGCUGAAGGCUGUGACAAGGAGAAAAGUUAAGACCAAGAGGAGGACCAGUGCCAACAGGUCCACAGUUGAACAGAGCACUGAUACUGAUGCAGCUGAGAGAGAUUUAGUUGAUAAUCAGAAUGAUGAAGAUGAGGAAGAGGUGAAGAAGGAUCCACCGCCUCAGAUGGAGCAGGAUGCCGUAAAGAGAAAUAAAGUCAAGAUCAUCACAGCAGCUGAUGUUGCUGUACAGAGGAAGGAGAUCCUCCGAGCAUCAGGCCUCAUCCCUGAACGAAGGAGUUGAUCCUCCUCAUGGCCAGCAUCCCUGCACACAGGGAGGGGAUCCUCCUCACAGCCAGUGUCCCUGUGAAGAAUGGAAACUAUCAUCCACAACCACCUCCCAUCAUCCCCAUGGUGGCACCACUGUGGAAAUGGGAUGGUGGAGCGUGUACUCCACCUGUGGAUUUCUAUUCCAAGGGAAGAUGUCACUUAAACGUACCUAAUUAGUAAAGAAAUUACCAUUGUGAUAGCGUGAUGAUGUGACUAUUUUAUGCAGAAAUAGUUUGGCGAUUGGUCACAUUUGUAAGCCCUCACAUAAUAUGCAGGGAAUUGUUGAUUUGGAAUUGUUUGCAACCAAAACAAUGCGAUGGCAGAGUACUGGAGUAAACUCCCAGUAAUCCCCGUGACUGCGUGUAGGUUAAGAUUGGGUUGUAACAGAGUAUCAGAGCGAGACGUUCCUACCUGUCAGCUAGUAAUUGUUCUGUGUGGUGACAUGAUCAGAGUGGCCUGACUUCUUCCACUUAUUACAGAUGUCCGACUUAGAUAUGUUGAGCAUCCUGCUAUGAUGUCCAUUACCAAGCCGGAACACUCCGAGGCCAACCCUCAGUGCCAGACUGGCAGCCAGCCGGUGGCUGAGCCCGAGACCCCUGCUGUUAACAAUAACAGUGGAGGCUGGCUCAGCUGGGUCUUUGGGAGUGGAAGAGUUAAUAAGAAGGGGGUUCAUCUACCUGAGGACAAAGACAGAUCUAUUGUCUGGGAUCCAACUCUGCACAGAUGGGUUAACAAAACUGAGCCCAAGGCUGAGAACAAGUGUGUACAACCACCUCCACGAAUGGGGACAUAUGGAUAUCAGGAGAACACUGGCAGUGUCCCCAAAGGAGUGAAUCCUUACUCUAUGAAAGUCUAUGGGGCAGCAGAUACCCUACAAUGCAUUACAAUGAUGGGACCAACUCAAAGCCUCAAAGCCGUGGGCCUGGACUGCUUCCUAGACAGCUCUCUGGCUUGCUCCCUUCUUCACACUUUGACCUCAUGGCACCAAUGGUUGUACCACCUGACACUCUACCCUACUGAGGCCAUUUGCCCAGAUUGGAUUUGCAAUACAUAGAUUUUUUCAGCAUUAAAAAUCUUCAGCAUUAAAAAUGUGUUAAAAGAUGAUCUUUCAAUGAAUCUCUCCUUUGUGUCCUCAUGUUCACAUUAAUUUGAUGUGUUCUAUCAUCAUUUACAAUGCUUAUUGCUUCUGCAUUGCUUUACGUUACAGAAAAGUAUAUACACUGCUCAAAAAAAUAAAGGAAA